ACAGGCUGGCUCCCCCUCCUGUCAGGGCCCUGAUUGGGCCGGACAGGAGGCGCAGGAGAGGCCCGGGGCUUCUAAAGGACACCAACAGGUGGGAGGCCCGCUUCAGAGGGGGGGCCCCCCACUCCUGGUGGGGCUAGAAAAGGCCAGUCUGCAUGGCCGGUUGUGGUCACAAGCCACCGGCCAGCUCCUGAGGAGAGUUGAUCCUUGAAGUGGAGAGAGUGUGUUUAAGUUAGCUUUCUUUAAAGCGUAGCUUUAGAUGAGUUCAGUGGAUAGAAGGCAAAGGUCAAGGACAAGGGCUCAGGUCAGCCCUGACGGCGAAUCAACAGACUGCCAGCACACGAGCCCUGGUUUCCAUUUCCUCCCUUUCCUUUCCCCUCCUGUUCUUUUUGCAUGCUCGCUCUUCUCUCGCUCUCCUCCUCCUCCUCUCUUGCUCUGCCUCUUGCAGCCGAAGCGACACACCUUGCUGUGGCUGGUCAAACGGAACCAAGUCAGGUGUUUCAGUGAGGUUUGGUCCCCUUCAACCAGCUACUGCGUCGUGAACUCUUUCAGCGUGGAAUCACCCGUGAUGCAGUGCUGCUCGCUCUUGGAUGUGGUGAUUCCCUAAGAGUUACGUGUGGACUCUCAUGUCCUCACUUGUUUGGUUGAUCUUAAAGUUGUUUGUGUUUGAAUAAAUAAAUGAAAGUUUUUUGAUGAUG